rnacentral:sRNA from 12 species
ACCAGGCUGCCGUGAAAGCGCAAGCCAAUGCGCUUACCGUUGAGGUUGGCAGCGAGCAGUAUCAUACCACAGGGUAGGGAUACUGCGGGAUCCGCCGGGUAUACCGGCAAA